AAACCAGGAUUAGAUACCCUAUUAUAAAAAUUUAAAUUAAUUUACUAAAAAAUUAAUAGUUAUGUUCUUUAAAUUUAAAAAAUUUGGCGGUAUUUUAGUCUUAUUAGAGGAACCUGUUUAUUCAUUGAUAAUCCACGAUUAAUUUUACUUAUUUUUAUAAUUCAUAUAUCGCUGUCAUGAAUAUAUUUAAAAAUUUAUUUUCUUUAUUUAUUAUUAUAAUUUAUGUUAAGUCAAGAUGUGGUUAAUAAAUAAGUAUAUAAUGGGUUACAUUAAAUUUUAUUUUUUGGAUUUAAAAUGAAAAUUAAAAUGAAAUUGGAUUUAAUAGUAAAUUUAAUUAUUUAA
rnacentral:rRNA from 1 species